UACGUAGGGUGCAAGCGUUGUCCGGAAUUAUUGGGCGUAAAGAGCUCGUAGGCGGUUUGUCGCGUCUGCUGUGAAAACUCGGGGCUUAACUCCGGGCCUGCAGUGGGUACGGGCAGACUAGAGUGCGGUAGGGGAGACUGGAAUUCCUGGUGUAGCGGUGAAAUGCGCAGAUAUCGGGAGGAACACCAGUGGCGAAGGCGGUUGCCUGGGGCUUUGCUGACGCUGAGGCGCGAAAGCGUGGGGAGCGAGCCGG
rnacentral:rRNA from 1 species